GACGAACGCUGGCGGCGUGCUUAACACAUGCAAGUCGAGCGGGUAAGGCCCUUUCGGGGGUACACGAGCGGCGAACGGGUGAGUAACACGUGGGUGACCUGCCCUCAGCUCUGGGAUAAGCCUGGGAAACCGGGUCUAAUACCGGAUAUGACUCCAUGACGCAUGUUGUGGGGUGGAAAGCCUUGUGCGGCUGAGGAUGGGCCCGCGGCCUAUCAGCUUGUUGGUGGGGNGAUGGCCUACCAAGGCGACGACGGGUAGCCGGCCUGAGAGGG
rnacentral:rRNA from 1 species